rnacentral:rRNA from 1 species
GGGCGUAAGGGCGCGUAGGCGGCUCUCAACGUCGGGGGUGAAAUUCCUGGGCUUAACCUGGGGGCUGCGUUCGAUACGUGCGACCUGAAUUGCGGAAAAGGGUCGUGAAUUUCCCGGUGUACAGGUGAAAUUCGUAGAUAUUGGGAAGAACACCGGUGGCGAAGGCGGCCACCUGGUCCGCAACUGACGCUGAGGCGCGAAAGCGUGGGGAGCAAACAGGAUUAGAUACCCUGGUAGUCCACGCUGUAAACGAUGUGCGCUGGAUGUUGGGGGGCCUAUCCGUUCAGUGUCGUAUCUCACGCGAUAAGCACACCGCCGGGAGAGUACGGCCGCGAGGUUGACUCUCAAAGGAAUUGACGG